CAGGAUGAACGCUGGCGGCGUGCCUAACACAUGCAAGUCGAACGAAGCACUGGAAACGGAGAUUCGUCGAAGUUCUUUGACUUAGUGGCGGACGGGUGAGUAAUGUGUGAGCAACCUGCCUUUCAGAGGGGGACAACAGUUGGAAACGACUGCUAAUACCGCGUAAUGUAUGAUGGGGGCAUCCCUGUGAUACCAAAGGAGCAAUCCGCUGAAAGAUGGGCUCACAUCUGAUUAGCUAGUUGGUGGGGGUAACGGCUCACCCAAGGCUGCGAUCAGUAGCCGGACUGAGAGGUUGAACGGCCACAUUGGGACUGAGAUACGGCCCAGACUCCUACGGGAGGCAGCAGUGGGGAAUAUUGGGCAAUGGGCGAAAGCCCUGACCCAGCAACGCCGCGUGAAGGAAGAAGGUCUUCGGAUUGUAAACUUCUUUUAUGAGGGACGAAGGACGUGACGGUACCUCAUGAAUAAGCCACGGCUAACUACGUGCCAGCCGCCGC
rnacentral:rRNA from 1 species